rnacentral:rRNA from 1 species
CAAUAGCGUAUAUUUAAGUUGUUGCAGUUAAAAAGCUCGUAGUUGGAUUUCGGUUAAGAGCGACCGGUCCGCCGUUUGGUGUGCACUGGUUGGUUUUAACUUCCUGUAGAGGACGUGCUCUGGGUUUAACGACCUGGACUCGGAGUCUACGUGGUUACUUUGAAAAAAUUAGAGUGUUCAAAGCGGGCUUACGCUUGAAUAUUUCAGCAUGGAAUAACACUAUAGGACUCCUGUCCUAUUUCGUUGGUCUCGGGACGGGAGUAAUGAUUAAGAGGAACAGUUGGGGGCAUUCGUAUUUCAUUGUCAGAGGUGAAAUUCUUGGAUUUAUGAAAGACGAACUUCUGCGGAAGCAUUUGCCAAGGAUGUUUUCAUUAA